rnacentral:rRNA from 1 species
CGGCCGGUCCGCCGUUUGGUGUGCACUGGCUGGUUUCAGCUUCCUGCAGAGGACGCGCUCUGGGCUUAAUCGUCUGGACGUGGAGUCUGCGUGGUUACUUUGAAAAAAUUAGAGUGUUCAAAGCGGGCUUACGCUUGAAUAUUUCAGCAUGGAAUAACACUAUAGGACUCCUGUCCUAUUUCGUUGGUCUCGGGACGGGAGUAAUGAUUAAGAGGAACAGUUGGGGGCAUUCGUAUUUCAAUGUCAGAGGUGAAAUUCUUGGAUUUUUGAAAGACGAACUUCUGCGAAAGCAUUUGCCAAGGAUGUUUUCAUUAAUCAAGAACGAAAGUUGGGGGCUCGAAGAUGAUUAGAUACCAUCCUAGUCUCAACCAUAAACGAUGCCGACUAGGGAUUGGCGGAUGUUAAUUGAUGACUCCGCCAGCACCUUAUGAGAAAUCAAAGUUUUUGGGUUCCGGGGGGAGUAUGGUCGCAAGGCUGAAACUCAAA